UACAGAGGUCUCAAGCGUUGUUCGGAUUCAUUGGGCGUAAAGGGUGUGUAGGUGGCGCGCUAAGUCGGGUGUGAAGUUUCGGAGCUUAACUCCGAAACUGCAUUCGAUACUGGCGUGCUUGAGGACUGGAGAGGAGACUGGAAUUCAUGGUGUAGCAGUGAAAUGCGUAGAGAUCAUGAGGAAGACCAGUGGCGAAGGCGGGUCUCUGGACAGUUCCUGACACUGAGGAGCGAAAGCGUGGGGAGCGAACAGG
rnacentral:rRNA from 1 species